rnacentral:misc_RNA from 1 species
CAGAGUUAUAAAACUCCCAACCAUUGUGAAUAGACCCGCAAUACUACAGCGGGUGGUUCACUAUGACCACCCGCUGUAGUACGCAAACUCUUGCUACAGUGUAUCUCUGAGUAACUUAUUUAAUAAGUCA